CCUACGGGAGGCAGCAGUGGGGAAUAUUGCGCAAUGGGCGAAAGCCUGACGCAGCGACGCCGCGUGAGGGCUGAAGGUCUUCGGAUCGUUAACCUCUGUCAGCAGGGAAGAACGGUCACUGUGCUAAUCAGCAGUGAAUUGACGGUACCUGCACAGGAAGCACCGGCGAACUCAGUGCCAGCCGCCGCGGUAAUACUGAGAGUGCGAGCGUUAAUCGGAAUUACUGGGCGUAAAGCGCUCGUAGGCGGUAUGUCAAGUCAAGGGUGAAAUCCCCGCGCUCAACGUGGGAACUGCCUUUGAAACUGGCAAACUGGAGUGUGUGAGAGGAUAGUGGAAUUCCAGGUGUAGGAGUGAAAUCCGUAGAUAUCUGGAGGAACAUCAGUGGCGAAGGCGACUAUCUGGCACAUAACUGACGCUGAGGAGCGAAAGCGUGGGUAGCAAACAGGAUUAGAUACCCCUGUAGUC
rnacentral:rRNA from 1 species